rnacentral:rRNA from 1 species
GACGAACGCUGGCGGCGUGCCUAAUACAUGCAAGUCGAACGCAGUGGGGACGGGUGAGUAACACGUGGGUAACCUCCCAUCAGAGGGGAUAACACUUGGAAAAAGGUGCUAAACCGAAAUUGUUGGAUGGACCCGCGGUGCAUUAGGUAGUUGGGGAGGUAACGGCUCACCAAGGCCACGAUGCAUAGCCGACCUGCGAGGGGUAUCAGCCAGACUGGGACUGAGACACGCCCCAGACUCCUACGGGAGGCAGCAGUAGGGAAUCUUCGGCAAUGGACGAAAGUCUGACCGAGCAACGCCGCGUGAGUGAAGAAGGUUUUCGGAUCGUAAAACUCUGUUGUUAGAGAAGCGGUAUCUAACCAGAAAGCCACGGCUAACUACGUGCCAGCCGCCGCGGUAAUAC